CGGCGUGAUGGCUGCCGCCGUUCCUGGCGCCGUUUCGCUCUCCCCACUGCUGUCCGUUCUCCUUGGCCUGCUGCUCCUCUCUGCUCCUCAUGGCGCCAGCGGCCUGCACACGAAGGGCGCCCUUCCCUUGGACACAGUCACUUUCUACAAGUGUUUGCCUGUGACAAAAAUGACAGUUUGGGACCACUGCAUUAGAAGCAUGAAAGGUUGGAGGAGGCGGCUGCAGAGAUGGCUCAGUGGUUAACAGCAAACACUGUUCUUGCAGAGGACACCAAGCUGUCCUGGAACUCAGAGGUCCACUUACCUCUGCCUCCUGGGUGCUGGAUUAAAGGCCUGUUACCACCACUUCUGCAACCGCCUUUUGCUAGUGGGAAUUUGGAUUGUGUGACACACAGUAAAGAAAGCAUGUCCUUGGGCUGGAGAGAUGGCUCAGCGAUUAAGAGAACUGACUGCUCUUCCAGAGGUCCUGAGUUCAAAUCCCAGCAACCACAUGGUGGCUCACAACCAUCUGUAAUGAGAUCUGAUGCCCUCUUCUGCUGUAUCUGAAGACAGCAACAGUGUACUCAUAUAUAAUAAAUAAUUCUUAAAAAAAAAAAAAGAAUGUCCUAAGCUUUAAGGGGAUUAGUGACUGAUAGCAGUGGACAGCUUGUCUCCUGUGUAGGCUGGCUUCCACUGUGUCUCUUCAGUGACACAACAGUGGCCCCUUGGGAAAGGG
rnacentral:lncRNA from 1 species